GACGAACGCUGGCGGCGUGCUUAACACAUGCAAGUCGAACGGGCCCGCUCUCUUUUUUGGGGGUGGGUUGAGUGGCGAACGGGUGAGUAUCACGUGAGUAACCUGCCCCCUGCUCCUGGAUAACUGCUUGAAAGGGCGGCUAAUACGGGGUGUGCCGGCUGGUCCGCAUGGGCCUGGUCGGGAUAGUUUCAUCUUCGGGUGUUUCGGUGGGGGAUGGGCUCGCGGCCUAUCAGCUUGUUGGUGGGGUGAUGGCCCACCAAGGCGGUGACGGGUAGCCGGCCUGAGAGGGUGGGCGGCCACACUGGGACUGAGACACGGCCCAGACGCCGGCGGGAGGCAGCAGUGGGGGGUAUUGCACAAUGGGCGGAAGCCUGAUGCAGCGACGUCGCGUGAGGGAUGGAGGCCUUCGGGUUGUGAACCUCUUUCUCCGGUGGUGAAGGCCCUGUCCGUUGCGGCGGGGUUGACGGUAGCCGGGUAUGAAGCGCCGGCUAACUACGUG
rnacentral:rRNA from 1 species